rnacentral:lncRNA from 1 species
GCAACUUGCUUUGGGUCCGUUUCCACGCUUUGGUCUUUCUCUCUUGGCAGUAAAUCUUGCUGCUCCUCACUUUUUGGGUUAGUACUACGUUUAUGAGCUGUCACACUCACCGGGAAGGUCUACAGCUUCACUCCUGAAGCCAGUGAGACCGUUAACCCACCAGGAGGAACGGGCAACUCAGACCGCGCCACCUUUAAGAGCUGUAACACUCACCGCGAAGGUCUGCGGCUUCACUCCAGAAGUCAGCGAGACCACGAAUCCUGCGGGAGGAACGAACUCCGACCGCGCCACCUUUAAGAGCUGUAACACUCACUGCGAAGGUCUGUGGCUUCACUCUUGAAGUCAGCAAGACCACGAACCCACCAGAAGGAAGAAACUCCGGACACAUCUGAACAUCUGAAGGAACUCGGGACACGCCAUCUUUAAGAACUGUUAACACUCACUGCGGGGGUCUGCGGCUUCAUUCCUGACGUCAGCGAGACCAAGAACCCACCGGAAGGAACCAGUUCCAGACAUACUGGGACCGUGUGGAUACGUCGGUAAACCUGACAUGCACAUCUUUAGGAGAUAGCUGGAGAAAACCCAUGCAGAUUGUGGGUUUAUCCCCAGCUGGGGAUAGAUUUUUUUUCCCCAUCAAUAUUGUAAAGAAAACUGAAUGAAUUAGUUAUUCAAGAACCAGCUGUACCUCUUACAUAGGGUUGUCCCGAGGGCUAUGAGAGAUCAUGUUUGUAAAGUGCCCAAGAAGCAGUGGCUACUAUUAUUACUAACUUGCUUUUUCUGUGCAGUAACUUUAUAAGAUAAAUUUUGCCACAGUUUUAUAGAUGAAGAGACUGAGGCAAAUGGAGGUCCCUUAAUUUACCAGAAGUCUUCUACCUUAAGAAAGACAAGACUCGGAUUCUAAUUUAAGUCAUUUUGAUACAUUCUACUCUCCCCACCACAGCAUAUUAAAUGUAAUGCACACUCAAAAAUACUGGGUUUUUUUUUUGUUUUUUUUUUUUGAGACAGAGUUUCGCACUUUUUGCCCAGGCUGGAGUGCAAUGGCGCGACCUUGGCUCCACCUCUUGGGUUCAAAUGAUUCUCCUGCCUCAGCCUUCUGAGUAGCUGGGAUUACAGGCAUGCAUCAGCACGCCUGGCUAAUUUUGUAUUUUUAGUAGAGAUGGGGUUUCUCCAUGUUGCUCAGGCUGGUCUCGAACUCCUGACUUCAGGUGAUCCUCCCACCUAGGCCUCCCAGAGUGUUGGGAUUAUAGGUGUGAGCCACUGCGCCUGGCCUGGAUUUCUCUAUUUGUUUAUGCGAAAUCGUCUACUGGCAUUACCAUCUCUCAAAACAUUUUCCUGGACUUUUAACUAAAGAUUUUUUCCAUUGUAAUGGGCACAAGUGCAAUUUCCCUUUCAUUUUAAGAGACUGUGAGAAGUAACAAAUCAGGUGAUGGUCUUGUUUUCCCAAGCUGCUACAGAGCUUCUGCAGCUCCAAGCAUGACCACUAUAUUUGGCUGCUUAAAAGCAUAACAAGGGCAGAAAUCAUAAAGGCUUUGCCCAGAGGGCCUUGAUUGUCCUUGCCUUCUUGUCCUUUGGUGAGAACUUCAUUGGUGGUGGCUCCAAAAAUCAGGAGACUUUCUGUGAUGAAUUCACCAUAAGAACGUGGGACCCAGCCUCCCUUGAAGGACGUCCUAUAUGAUGCCUGUUUCCAAGGGAAGAAGUAAAGUCAAGAAACAAGAUAUCCUCAAGCUACUCUUAGGAUCAGUGUCUGCAUAGAUCUGGCACACAGAAAUGCAAGGAAACAAUUUGUGCAAAGCAUUAAAAAAAAAAGGGGGGACCCUGAGAGUAUAACAAGUGCUCCUGAGAGAGGACAGACGGAGAGGACGCAUGGGCAGGGAUGGCCGCCCUGAGCAGCUGAUGUUCGAGCUAAGAUCUGAAAGGUGCAUGAUUUCCCACUUACCUCCCGCAACCACUACCACCCACGUUGUCCACAGUAUUCAGCUGUCUCAGGGAGGAUCACAAUUAUUCUAAUGGGACUGCAAAGAGUGAAGGACACAGCUUUUAACAUCAGGCGGAGCUAAAUGGGGGAUGGAAGGUUCUUGAGAAGAUUUAGCUAAAGAAGCUAAUUGUUAAGUUAGGCAUCUGAGUAUAAUAUUCGAAUCCUACAAUUUGGAACCCAUGGGCACUUCUAGAUUGGAUCUUGCAGAGAUUUUUUACAACAGAAAUAAUGGAAAGGCAAAAGAAAACAUUGAGUAAUAACCAACCCAAGCAAGUCCAGCCUCUUUCUGCAGAAGGCAAGUAGUUCUAAAUGAAUUGAAUAUUUGGCAAUUUUUUUCCAUCCACACUGUUUGACUCCAUUCUGGGCCAAAAUGAUCUGUGACUAAACACAGGCAAAAACAAAGUUUAUUUUUAAUCUGUCUAGCAAUGAGGGUAUUGGCUCAUCAUCCAGAGGAGAUGUGAAUUCUUAUCCUUUAUCUAAUCUUGAACACUCUCUCUCAUACUGGGGAGUGGUGACGGCGCAAUUUCUAGCACUGAUUUCCUAUUGAAACCGUGGUUUCCUUCAUUGUUUAUCAAAUUCUCUCCCGUCUUACCCUCAACUCCAACCAACCCGGAGUUUUUCGUCAAAGCCACUCUACUUGACAUACAUAUGAGCUUGACAAUAAAAUUCCUUGGAUAUACAUUGUGGAAGACGGGUGCAUUUUCCAUAUUUUACAUCAUAUUCUUGUUUUUGGAUCACCAAAAUAUGAUGUGUUAUAAUUUAGAAAUUCAUUUCCAUAAAUAAUUUAACUAUAGCUCUAGACUCAUGAAACUUGGAUAUAGGCCAGACAAGCGGCUCAUGCUUAUAAUCCUAGCACUUUGGGAGUCUGAGGCCGCCCGGGAGGUCAAGACUGCAGUGAGCCAAGAUCACAGCACUGUACUUCAGUCUGGGUAACAAAGCGAGACCCUGUCUCAAAGGAAAAAAAAAAAAAAAGGAACUUGGGUAUAAUUUAAGAUGGAGCGACAAAUAUGGGGUUUUACCUGGAGUCUCCUACACCAUGUGACCUUUCAAAUUUGGCCUUGCACAAAUCAUACUGGAAAGGUAUGUUUCAGAACUUUUUCCCUAGUCUUACUCAUCAAAUAUAUUUUCCCCACAGGAAUAUCUAGUGCCAUCAAAGUGGAUAAUUAACAUUCAAGGUGCUAAGACCAUGUCUACAUGAUGAAAAGUGUUUUGUAAAAGAAUAAAUGAGUGCAUUACUAAUGAAAGAUUUUUUUUUCCUUUACAAAAAGUCACUGAAUUAUGCUAUCCAGGCAGCCCACUGUCUGAUGCAUUGAUAAAUGGAGGAAAAGACAAUCACAUUAAGAACAUCAGAACAUCAUUUGCAAUUCUUAAAGUCGGUAUUCAGAAUCAACAAGCAGGGAACUUUCUCUUAAAAUUAGAGGUAAUAACCCACCCAAUUGAGUGGCAGCAAUGUGGUCAAUUGAAGACAGAAAAACAAGACCUAUUUUCCACAUUACGAACCUUUAGUCCAAGGAAGUGUUUUUCAAAUGAUGUUGGCUGAGACCCCGAGUAAUAAAUAUAUUUUACAUUGCAACACAAAUGCAAAUGAGUGUUGAAACAUCCAUAUAUAAUUGAAACAAAAGUUUCCAAAGUAAUGCUACUCUACUGUCUGCGAUGCACACGUAUUUUCUAUUGUAUUCUAUUUCACUUUAAAAAUAAAUGCUAGUUGCAAACCAUAAAAUUUAUACCCCUAAUGGGGGGGCUGUGGUCCACAGUUUGCAAAAACAGUUAUUUAGCAAUUAUAGUCAUCUAUACUUUUGAAAAAUGUAGCAGAUGCACUAAGAAACUUCCACAAAAAUAUGUAUUCAUAAGCUGAGUGAACUAAAGACCUCUUUAAGGAUACAGUGUGACAUAUGAUAGGGGCUCAAUAUAAAUUUGAAGAAAUAAUUAAAAGAACAUAGUAGAACAGGCCAGGCGUGGUGGCUCAUGCUUGCAAUCCCAGCAUUUUGGAAGGCUGAGGAAGGUGGAUCAUCUGAGGUCAGGAGUUCAACGUAGCCUGGCCAACAUGCUGAAACCCGAUCUCCACUAAAAAUAUGAAAAUUAGCCGGGCGUGGUGGCGCAUGCUGGUAAUCCCAGCUACUCGGGAAGCUGAGGCUGGGGAAUCGCUUGAUCAUGGAAAGGCGGAGGUUGCAGUGAGCAGAGAUUGUGCCACUGCAUUCCAACCUGAAUGGCAGAGCGAGACGCCGUUUCAAACAGCAACAGCGACAACAACAACAACAUAGUAGAAAAGAAGAAAAGAAGGAAAGAAGAAGAUACUGUGGAGAAGCCAUAACUGCAAGUGAGCAGAUAAGGCAACUGAAAUGAGCCUCAAGCAACUUAGAGGUGGCCUAGUUUUGGCAAAGAUUUUAGGCUGUUUAUAAAGCAAAAUAACAACUGGUAUGACUUUAAGUGCUAAAUAUUUUUGUAAAAAAAUAUAGUGAGGCCAGCACAGUGGCUCACACCUGUAAUCCCAGCACUUUGGGAGGCCAAGGAGGGCGGAUUAUCUGAGGUCAGGAGUUCAAGUAGUCUGGCCAACAUGGUGAAACCCGUCUCUACUAAAAAUACAAAAAUUAGCAGGGCGUGGUGGCCCAUGCCUGUAAUCCCAGCUACUCGGGAGGCUGAGGCAGGAGAAUUGCUUGAGCCCGGGAGGCAGAGGUUGCAGUGAGCUGAGAUCGUGCCACUGCACUCCAGCCUGGCUGACAGAGCAAGACUCUGUCUCAAAAAAAAAAAAAAAAAAAAAAUAGAAAUAGUGACCAGUUGAGGAAAGUUUAAAGCCUUUUGUGAUGAAUGGAUAUGGCUUUGAAUCCCAGAUUUUCCAGUGACCAGCUUUGUCAAUGUGGAAGCUUUUUCCACCACAUCUUGUGUGGUCUUUAAUAUUGGGGUGAUGAUAUCUAGCUAACCAGGUUAUGAUGAGACUUUAUAAUAAUAACACAUAGAAGGAACAUGAUAGGGCCUAAUAGGUAGCAAACGCUCAAGAAAUAAGAAAUCUUAUUUUGUGUGUUAGAUGUUGGUUGUUUUUUUUGUUUUACCCAACUCUGACUUUAGCUUUCUUUUAUGCUGAAUGAAUCUGCCUUUCAAAAUGUUGCAUCAGACACUAACAUACCUUCUCUGCCCAAAUUGUUAACUAGCAGAUAAUCAGGAUGACUCCACCUUUGUACCUGACUGAGGAACUUAGUGAACCCUGAAGAAAUGAUGAUUAAAGAGACAAUGAAGAGGCCAGGCGCAGUGGCUCAUGCCUGUAAUCCCAGCACUUUGGGAGGCCGAGGUAGGCGGAUCAUGAGGUCAGGAAAUCGAGACCAUCCUGGCUAACAUGGUGAAACUCUAUCUCUACUAAAAAUACAAAAAAUAAGCUGGGUGUGGUGGCACGUGCCUGUAAUCCCAGCUACUCAGGAAGCUGAGACAGGAGAAUCGCUUGAACCCAGGAGGUGGAGGUUGCAGUGAGCCGAAGUCGUGCCGUUGCACUCCAGUCCGGGUGACAGAGUGAGACUCUGUCUCAAAAAAAAAAAAAAAAAAAAAGGACAAUGAAGACAGGAGACAUUGGGCUGUGCCCUUCUAGAUAUGACAGGGAGCAAAUAAGCCAACUCCAGGUCAGUAUAAAAUCCUAGGUGAUCAUUAAAAUCACUUAAAUAAGCCAACUCCAGGUCAGCAUAAAAUCCUAGGCGAUCAUUAAAAUCACUUAAAAUUAAAAUCCUAGGUGAUCAUUAAAACCACUUCAAAAAGACAUGUUUUGGGAGCUAUGUGUUCAGGGAAACAGAGGAGAAAACAACUGGGACUCUAUGAGGUGCCAGGUUUGAAGCUGUAUGGAUGUGACUGAUGUCAGGUUUUCAUGAGCCCAGUGGAAAAUUUAGAGGCAGUAAACUGGGCAACUGGGGCUGUUGGUGCUUGAGUAAUGCUUGGGCAUCAAGAUCUCCAAACUGUGUGGCCGCACCUGUGGUCCUAGCUACUCAGGAGGCUGAGGUGGGAGGAUAGUUGGAGCCUGGGAGAUUGAGGCUGCAGUGAGCUGUGAUGGUGCCACUGUACUCUAGCCUGGGUGACAGAGCGAGACUUGUCUCAAAAAAAAAAAAAUCUCCAAACUGGACUCUCUCUCACUAGGGAUUUGUCUCUUUCUCCUCUCCUUCUCUUCCUUCCUAAUUAUCUCCUUUUCUUUAUUCACAAUAUAUAUAUCCUCAACUAUGGAUAAGUGUGCUUAUACUCAGCUAUAUUUUCUUUUUUUCCAGCUAUAUUGAUGUAUAAUUGACAAAUAAAAAUUAGAUAUUGUUAAGGUGUACAACAUAGUGCUUGACAGAUAUAUACAUUGUGAAAUAAUUACCACAACCAAGCAAGCUAGUUAACAUAUCCAUCACCUCAUGUAGUUACUUUUUUGGGUUUUUUUUUUUUUGGUGUGGUGAGAACACUGAAAAUCAACUCUCUUAGCAAAUUUUGAGUAUUCAAUGAAGUAUACUUGAAUAACACUGUAUACAAAUUCAAGUAUAAAUUCAAGUAUACAAUGCUAUUAGCUAUAGUCAUCCUGCUAUAUAUUAGUUCUCCAGAACCUACUCAUCAUAUAAGUUAACGUUUGUACCCUUUGCCCAAGACCGCCCCACUUCCUCCUCCCACCAGCUGCUGGUAACAACCAUUCUACUCUCUGUUUCUAUGAGUUUGACUUUUUUAGGUUUUGCAUAGAAGUGACAUCAUGCAGUAUUUAUCUUUCUGUGUCUGGCUUGUUUCAUUUAGCAUAACGUCUUGCAGGUUCAUUCAUGUUGUCGCAAAUGGCAGGAUUUCCUUAUUUUUAAAGGCUGAAUAUUCCAUUGUGUGUGAAAAUAUAUGAUAUCAACUGUAUUUUCAUAUAUGUGUCUAACUGGAUGGCCUCUUAAUAAACUUUAAAGGAUUAAAGAUUGUCAUUAGAGAAUUCUAAAUAAGGUGGUUUUAGGUUCAUAUUAUACAAUACAUGUAAUGUGCAUGCAUUAUGUCGACUCUUAUUAAAUUCUAAGUCCUACUCAAUAGUGUUGAGAGCAUUAAUGCACCCAAGAAUUUUGUUUUUUUAUUUAACUUAGUGAGAAAAUAUAACUUAAUAUAUAGCAAUUCACUUAGAUUGAUAUAGAAGUAAUUAACACCACAUUCUUAUUAAUAGAUUUCU